UACAGAGGUCCCGAGCGUUGUUCGGAUUCACUGGGCGUAAAGGGUGCGUAGGCGGUGAGGUAAGUCGGAUGUGAAAUCUCCAAGCUCAACUUGGAAAUGGCAUUGGAAACUACCUUGCUGGAGGUUUGGAGGGGGGGCUGGAAUUCUCGGUGUAGCAGUGAAAUGCGUAGAUAUCGAGAGGAACACCAGUGGCGAAGGCGAGUCCCUGGACAAAACCUGACACUGAGGCACGAAAGCUAGGGGAGCAAACAGG
rnacentral:rRNA from 1 species